AUUUGGAGCUAAAUUGGACGCGUUGGCCAAUUAAUCAGGUGGUGAGUCCUCUGAUAAAGGCAAGAAAAUUGCAUCCGAGGAUCAGUAGUCAGAGUACUUAGAAAAUUCGCACUCUAGACAUUGCUCAGGAUAGUCUAUAGAUAGCUGAUUUCAUCGAGGACCACCAUUGGAUUUGCAUCUUCCAAACUUUAGGUUUACAAUCUUUCUUACUUUUGGUUAUUCAAGGGCUCACUUGUUACUGUAAAUUAAAAUAAAUACUCUAGCUUACUA